rnacentral:rRNA from 1 species
UGGGGAAUAUUGCACAAUGGGCGAAAGCCUGAUGCAGCAACGCCGCGUGCGGGAUGACGGCCUUCGGGUUGUAAACCGCUUUCAGCAGGGACGAAGGUUUUCUGACGGUACCUGCAGAAGAAGCACCGGCUAACUACGUGCCAGCAGCCGCGGUGAUACGUAGGGUGCGAGCGUUGUCCGGAAUUAUUGGGCGUAAAGAGCUUGUAGGCGGUCCGUUGCGUCGGAAGUGAAAACUCAGGGCUUAACCCUGAGCCUGCUUUCGAUACGGGCGGACUUGAGGGAUGUAGGGGAGAACGGAAUUCCUGGUGGAGCGGUGGAAUGCGCAGAUAUCAGGAGGAACACCAGUGGCGAAGGCGGUUCUCUGGACAUUUCCUGACGCUGAGAAGCGAAAGCGUGGGGAGCAAACAGGCUUAGAUACCCUGGUAGUCCACGCCGUAAACGGUGGGCACUAGGUGUGGGACCCAUUCCACGGGUUCCGUGCCGUAGCUAACGCAUUAAGUGCCCCGCCUGGGGAGUACGGCCGCAAGGCUAAAACUUAAAUGAAUUGA